UACGGGGGGGGCAAGCGUUGUUCGGAAUUACUGGGCGUAAAGGGCUCGUAGGCGGCCAACUAAGUCAGACGUGAAAUCCCUCAGCUUAACUGGGGAACUGCGUCUGAUACUGGAUGGCUUGGAUUCGGGAGAGGAAUGCGGAAUUCCAGGUGUAGCGGUGAAAUGCGUAGAUAUCUGGAGGAACACCGGUGGCGAAGGCGGCAUUCUGGACCGAUAUUGACGCUGAGGCGCGAAAGCUAGGGGAGCGAACGGG
rnacentral:rRNA from 1 species